rnacentral:rRNA from 1 species
AGUUUGAUCCUGGCUCAGAACGAACGUUGGCGGCGUGGAUUAGGCAUGCAAGUCGAGGGAAUCCCAGCAAUGGGGGAACCGGCGUAAGGGGCAGUAAUGCGUGGGUAACCUGCCCCGGGGUUCGGGAUAGCCUCUCGAGAGAGAGGGUAAUACCGGAUGACAUCGUGAGAUCAAAGCUCCGGCGCCCUGGGAGGGGCCCACGUGGUAUUAGCUAGUUGGUGGGGUAAUGGCCUACCAAGGCGAAGAUGCCUAGCGGGUGUGAGAGCACGACCCGCGCCACUGGCACUGAGACACUGGCCAGACACCUACGGGUGGCUGCAGUCGAGAAUCUUCGGCAAUGGGCGCAAGCCUGACCGAGCGACGCCGCGUGUGCGAUGAAGGCCUUCGGGUUGUAAAGCACUGUCGAGGGGGAGAAAAGCCCGCAAGGGUGUGAUCUAUCCCUGGAGGAAGCACGGGCUAAGUUCGUGCCAGCAGCCGCGGUAAGACGAACCGUGCGAACGUUGUUCGGAAUCACUGGGCUUAAAGGGUGCGUAGGCGGGCUGCCAAGUCUGGGGUGAAAUCCCACGGCUCAACCGUGGAACUGCCCUGGAUACUGGCGGCCUCGAGGGAGGUAGGGGCAUGCGGAACUACGCGUGGAGCGGUGAAAUGCGUUGAUAUGCAUAGGAACUCCGGUGGCGAAGGCGGCGUGCUGGACCUCUUCUGACGCUGANGCGCGAAAGCCAGGGGAGCAAACGGGAUUAGAUACCCCGGUAGUCCUGGCCCUAAACGUUGAGAACUAGGUAGUAGGCUAGACAUGGGCUUACUGCCGAAGCAAAAGUGCUAAGUUCUCCGCCUGGGGAGUAUGGUCGCAAGGCUGA